GGUGCCGUUGAUACUGUCAGACUAGAGUUUAUUUGACGUAGGCGGAAUGUAGCAUGUAGCGGUGAAAUGCUUAGAGAUGCUACAGAACACCGAUGGCGAAGGCAGCUUACGAAGAUAUAACUGACGCUCAUGCACGAAAGCGUGGGGAUCAAACAGGAUUAGAUACCCUGGUAGUCCACGCUGUAAACGAUGAUAACUGGCUUUUGGCGAUACACAGUCAGAGGCUGAGAGAAAUCAAUAAGUUAUCCACCUGGGGAGUACGACGGCAACGUUGAAACUCAAAGGAAUUGACGGGGGCCCGCACAAGCGGAGGAGCAUGUGGUUUAAUUCGAUGAUACGCGAGGAACCUUACCCGGGCUUAAAUUGCAGAUGCUGUAUGUUGAAAGGCAUAUUUCUACGGACAUCUGUGAAGGUGCUGCAUGGUUGUCGUCAGCUCGUGUCGUGAGGUGUCGGGUUAAGUUCCAAUAACGAGCGCAACCCCUCAUAUUCAGUUACCAGCCCGUAAAGGCGGGGGACUCUGGAUAGAACUGCCUACGCAAGUAGAGAGGAAGGUGGGGGAUGACGUCAAUCAGCACGGCCCUUACGUCCUGGGCUACUCACGUGCUACAAUGGUCGUAAACAGAAGAAGCAGCGAGUCCGCUGACGGUGAGCCGAAUCCUCAGAAAAUCGGAUCUCAGUCCUGGAAUCUGAGUCCUGCAACUCGA
rnacentral:rRNA from 1 species